rnacentral:rRNA from 1 species
GACAGAGGGUGCAAACGUUGCUCGGAAUUACUGGGCGUAAAGCGCGUGUAGGCGGGUCGGUAUGUCGGACGUGAAAUCCCUAGGCUCAACCUAGGAACUGCGCUCGAAACUGCCGGUCUUGAGUGGUGGAGAGGGAAGUGGAAUUCCUGGUGUAGAGGUGAAAUUCGUAGAUAUCAGGAGGAACACCAGUGGCGAAGGCGGCUUCCUGGACACCAACUGACGCUGAGACGCGAAAGCGUGGGGAGCAAACAGG